rnacentral:tRNA from 1 species
GCCCUGAUGACACAGUGGUUAAGUGCUUGGCUGCUAACCAAAAGGUCUGUGGUUUGAAUCCACUCAGGAGCU